rnacentral:rRNA from 1 species
GAUGAACGCUGGCGGCGUGCUUAACACAUGCAAGUCGAACGGAAAGGCCUCUGCUUGCAGGGGUACUCGAGUGGCGAACGGGUGAGUAACACGUGGGUGAUCUGCCCUGCACUUCGGGAUAAGCCUGGGAAACUGGGUCUAAUACCGGAUAGGACAAUGGGUUGGAUGCUGUUGUGGAAAGUUUUUCGGUGUGGGAUGAGCUCGCGGCCUAUCAGCUUGUUGGUGGGGUAAUGGCCUACCAAGGCGUCGACGGGUAGCCGGCCUGAGAGGGUGUACGGCCACAUUGGGACUGGGAAACGGCCCAGACUCCUGCGGGAGGCAGGAGUGGGGAAUAUUGAACAAUGGGCGCUAGCCUGAUGCAGCGACGCGGCGUGGGGGAUGACGGCCUUCGGGUUGUAAACUCCUUUCGCUAGGGACGAGGCGUUUUUGUGACGGUACCGGGAGAAGAAGCACCGGCUAACUACGUG